UUGGGAUGGGCCAAUGUUACCCGCUGCUCCAUCGUGCCUUUUGUUCGUUUUUAUAUUAAUAGCCUUAGUUCUAGUAAUAGUUGUAGUGGGCUAACGUUCUGGGAACAACAGGGAAAUUGGACACUUUUCCCAUACCUUACAUCGUAACGUUCAGUAAAGUUGGGUGCCCCCUACUCAUGUACACAGUAUAGAAAUUGCAGUUUCGAAGGCGCGUGGAACGGACCCGGUUGUGUUUCCUGGCGAGUUACGACUUUGCAUCCACAAUACAGGAAAGGAUGCAUUCCAGGGUCCAUGGUGGAUAUUACCAGCACCCUCCCCCCUUUCACUAUCUGACGAUUCAUGACAGGGCUGGUGAAGUAAGGACAGCCCUGCCGGGUGCCUACAUUCUGAGUUUUUAGGACUUCAGCGAAGCCACCAACCUGCUCUAUUCCUGCUCCACCUACAGCUCAAAAUUAUGAAUGGUAAGUCUAAACUGAAAUGGGCAGUGUUUUCAAAAUAUAGGAUAGCAGCAAAGCGCAAUUGUACACCGUGGAAGAGAAUGAGUGCAUUUAACCUCUGAGUCAUUGUACCCACCCAGAUCCUGGUGCCAUAAUAGAACAAUAAAACUGAGGUGUCAUGAGAAGAAAGAAGAAAAUCCCUGGAUUGGUCUCCCUCUUCCACUACAUGUGGUAGAAAGGUCGAACUGUCAACAAAAUCUUGCGAACACUCGUCACGAUCGAUUUUACCUUGUUUGUGUCCUGUCACAAACAAACCAGCACAUCACCUUUAAUGUGUGUUACUCCAUUUGACUGUUUUUCUUUGUUCUAAGUUCCAAACAGUAAAGAUAAUAUGUGAUUAACUCAUGAAAAUGAGAUGAGACAUAAACGUUGGUGAUAAAGUGUAAUCUGAUUUAGAUGAGGUGAAAUAUUACUCUUGGCAGCAAUGGAGGGAGAUGGAGCUGGCAUGUAGAGACAGGCGCACAAGACAAUAUAGCAGGUCAAACGCAUCCCAUAAACAUCGUAAACAGCACCUUUGCAAGGUAGCACAUAGGGAUCUGGAGAUUAUGGGAGCACCAAAGAGGCUCAACUUCCAUACAUUCAUUUUCCAAACCGCUUAUCCUACUGGGUCGCUGGGGGUCCGGAACCUAUCCCGGAAGCAACGGGCACGAGGCAGGGAACAACCCAGGAUGGGGGGCCAGCCCAUCACAGGGCACACUCACACACCAGUCACUCACACACACACACACAUACGGGAAUUUAGCAACUCCAAUUAGGCUCAGCAUGUUCUUGGACUGUGGAGGGAAACCGGAGUACCCGGAGGAAUCCCCACGACGACAUGGGGAGAACAUGCAAACUCCACAUACAUGUGACCCAGGCGGAGACAGUGCUAACUACUGCACCACCAUGCCACCCCCGAGGCUCAACUUAAGAGACUUAAUUAAUGGGUAACUGAAAGUGAGUCGCUGCUCCAUCACAGAAUGAAACAUGGAUUAUCUUCUGUCUGCCGUCUUAAGAGCUCCUGACUGCUUCUCUGCUGUAGCUGGUCAAAGUUUCAUGUAAGGUGGCCACCUACUCCAUGUCAGGGGAGACACUAUGAGUUACUUCAGGUUUUACUGUAGUAUUUUAAAACUGAAAGGCUCCGGUGCUUGGCCGAUUAGUUCAGUUCUCCUUUUGCUUUGACUGGUUUGUUUUCUUGAUUGAAAGACUCAUCAAGCUGAAAGUAAAGUAAACUUUACUUUAACAUUAUUGAUAAGUGCAUGAUUUGAAGAGACUGACCAAUCAGCACACAGCAAGACCUCAGUGCUUAAAUGAAACUCAGGUCUUUUUUAAUUGAAAUGGUAGUAUAAAAAACUGUCCCUGGGUCAUAAUGUCCCCCCUGACGUGGAUUAGAUGGUCAUCCUAGUCUCACGUGAUUUUCGCACGGGGAACCGGGUGUCUGAUGUAAUGCUGACACAACGCCAUCCAGAAAGACCAUCACUUUGAGGCGGAUGGCAAAAGUCUGGGUUAGCAAUCUGAAAUGGAAGCGAAAUGAGUACGAGAACCAGCAGGGUGCCUCCCAGAAAAGCGGCCACAGAUGAUUCCAGCAUGAAUGUCAUUUGCCUGUGUCUCCAGUUGUAAGGGGGUUGGGUUCAAACCCAUAUCUACGGUCAGAGAUACACAGACACACUCACCUGGUGACGACACCUGAAUGCGGGAAGAUGUCCAGGUGCGCCGGGUUGACUGGCUAAAACUGAUAAAUGAUAGGCAGAAGAGAAGGGGGGGGUUCUAAUCGGCAGAUCGUUUGUAGCUGACUUUGUGUUUUCUGAUCUGUCUGUGCGAUGUAGUUUUUGA